rnacentral:rRNA from 1 species
UACGUAGGGAGCAAGCGUUAUCCGGAUUUACUGGGUGUAAAGGGAGCGUAGACGGAUAGGCAAGUCUGGAGUGAAAGCCCGGGGCUCAACCCCGGGACUGCUUUGGAAACUGUUUAUCUAGAGUGCUGGAGAGGCAAGUGGAAUUCCUAGUGUAGCGGUGAAAUGCGUAGAUAUUAGGAGGAACACCAGUGGCGAAGGCGGCUUGCUGGACAGUAACUGACGUUGAGGCUCGAAAGCGUGGGGAGCAAACAGG